rnacentral:rRNA from 1 species
CGAACGUUGGCGGCGUGGUUUAGGCAUGCAAGUCGAACGAGAAAGCGUCCUUCGGGACGUUAGUAAAGUGGCGAACUGGUGAGUAACAGGUGGGUAAUGUGCCUUCCGGUGGGGGAUAACCUCAAGAAAUUGAGGAUAAUACCGCAUAUGGCCCCGAGUUGUUGGACUCGGUGGUUAAAGGUGCGCUUCGCGCGUGCCGCUGGAAGAGCAGCCCGCUCCCGAUUAGCUUGUUGGUAGGGUAACGGCCUACCAAGGCUUUGAUCGGUAGGUGGCCUGAGAGGGUGGUCACUCACACUGGGACUGAGAUACGGCCCAGACUCCUACGGGGGGCAGCAGUCUAGAAGCUUCCACAAUGGGCGAAAGCCUGAUGGAGCGACGCCGCGUGCGGGAUUGAAGGUCGUGAGAUUGUAAACCGCUGUCAGCAGGGAAGAAUGCCCGGAUGGUGAAUCCGGGAGAGACGGUACCUGCAGAGGAAGCCCCGGCUAACUCC